rnacentral:rRNA from 1 species
GCAUGCUUACACAUGCAAGUCGAACGGCAGCACGGAGCUUGCUCUGGUGGCGAGUGGCGAACGGGUGAGUAAUACAUCGGAACGUAUCCUGGAGUGGGGGAUAACGUCGGCGAAAGUUAGGUUAAUACCGCAUACGAUCUACGGAUGAAAGUGGGGGAUCGCAGGACCUCAUGCUCUUGGGGCGGCCGAUAUCUGAUUAGCUAGUUGGUAGGGUAAAAGCCUACCAAGGCGUCGAUCAGUAGCUGGUCUGAGAGGACGACCAGCCACACUGGAACUGAGACACGGCCCAGACUCCUACGGGAGGCAGCAGUGGGGAAUUUUGGACAAUGGGCGAAAGCUGAUCCAGCAAUGCCGCGUGNGUGAAGAAGGCCUUCGGGUUGUAAAGCACUUUUGUCAGGAAAGAAACGGUGAAGGUUAAUAUCCUCUGCUGAUGACGGUACCUGAAGAAUAAGCACCGGCUAACUACG